CGAACGCUGGCGGCGUGCCUAAUACAUGCAAGUAGAACGCUGAAGGAGGAGCUUGCUCUUCUGGAUGAGUUGCGAACGGGUGAGUAACGCGUAGGUAACCUGCCUGGUAGCGGGGGAUAACUAUUGGAAACGAUAGCUAAUACCGCAUAAUAUUGACUAUUGCAUGAUAGUCAAUUGAAAGGUGCAAAUGCACCACUACCAGAUGGACCUGCGUUGUAUUAGCUAGUUGGUGGGGUAACGGCUCACCAAGGCGACGAUACAUAGCCGACCUGAGAGGGUGAUCGGCCACACUGGGACUGAGACACGGCCCAGACUCCUACGGGAGGCAGCAGUAGGGAAUCUUCGGCAAUGGACGGAAGUCUGACCGAGCAACGCCGCGUGAGUGAAGAAGGUUUUCGGAUCGUAAAGCUCUGUUGUAAGAGAAGAACGAGUGUGAGAGUGGAAAGUUCACACUGUGACGGUAUCUUACCAGAAAGGGACGGCUAACUAC
rnacentral:rRNA from 1 species